UGAGCCCGGGAGGUUGAGGCUGCAGUGAACUGUGAUCGUGCCACUGCACUCCAGCCUGAGUGACAGAGCAAGAC
rnacentral:miRNA from 1 species